GGUUAUUUAACCUGUUUUGCUAAUAGGAAGCUAAGGAGGGAAGGACAGUUGAACCAAUUGAACUUUAUGACAUGACACAUUUUUGUCGAAAGAAGAAUGCUAUGGUUGAUGAGACAUCAGCUGAAAAACUGGUAAGAAAAAUAUCACUUUCAACUUAAUACCAAUGCUUCAUGUCUCUUAUGCAUAUAUCAAUAAUAGCAAACCUGUGAUUGUAGAGCAAAAUGAAGGACUUACAGCUAGAAGCUCAAUCUAGUGGUGUAAAUCGAACCGAAGAAGACAUUUGUAUUGAAGUGACUGGGCGUAUAACUGGAUAUGUACGUGGUCGUGGCCCCUCCAAGGCUAGUUUAAUUACACAAAAACUUGCAGAGAUAGAAGAAUUCAAGAAAAGGGCAGAACAAGCUGAG
rnacentral:lncRNA from 1 species